AACGAACGCUGGCGGCAUGCCUAACACAUGCAAGUCGAACGAGACCUUCGGGUCUAGUGGCGCACGGGUGCGUAACGCGUGGGAAUCUGCCCUUCGGUUGGGAAUAACUGAGAGAAAUUUCAGCUAAUACCUUAUAAUGUCUUCGGACCAAAGAUUUAUCGCCGAGGGAUGAGCCCGCGUAGGAUUAGGUAGUUGGUGGGGUAAUGGCCUACCAAGCCGACGAUCCUUAGCUGGUCUGAGAGGAUGAUCAGCCACACUGGGACUGAGACACGGCACAGACUCCUACGGGAGGAAGCAGUGGGGAAUAUUGGAAAAUGGGCGAAAGCAUGAUCCAGCAAGGCCGGGUGAGUGAUGAAGGAAUUAGGGUUGUAAAGCUCUUUUAACCGGGAUGAUAACGACAGUACCGGGAGAAUAAGCUCCGGCUAACUCCGUG
rnacentral:rRNA from 1 species